rnacentral:ncRNA from 1 species
UGAUAGAGGUGCGGACAUCAAGAGUAGUCUUUUGCCAUUCAGACAGGCAGCGGGAAGGACAAAAGGGAUCUCCGCCGAGGUUUCGCAGCUUUCUGCCUGGAGAGCACGGAGCCGGUCUGUGGAAGAAUAUUCCACAGAUUGUCGUUCCGAAAGGAACGGAGCGCUGUCGU